rnacentral:piRNA from 1 species
UGCAUAUCUUCUAAAAGUAGGGAG